rnacentral:rRNA from 1 species
GAUGAACGCUGGCGGCGUGCCUAAUACAUGCAAGUCGAGCGAACAGACGAGGAGCUUGCUCCUCUGACGUUAGCGGCGGACGGGUGAGUAACACGUGGAUAACCUACCUAUAAGACUGGGAUAACUUCGGGAAACCGGAGCUAAUACCGGAUAAUAUAUUGAACCGCAUGGUUCAAUAGUGAAAGACGGUUUUGCUGUCACUUAGAGAUGGAUCCGCGCCGCAUUAGCUAGUUGGUAGGGUAACGGCUUACCAAGGCAACGAUGCGUAGCCGACCUGAGAGGGUGAUCGGCCACACUGGAACUGAGACACGGUCCAGACUCCUACGGGAGGCAGCAGUAGGGAAUCUUCCGCAAUGGGCGAAAGCCUGACGGAGCAACGCCGCGUGAGUGAUGAAGGUCUUCGGAUCGUAAAACUCUGUUAUUAGGGAAGAACAAAUGUGUAAGUAACUAUGCACGUCUUGACGGUACCUAAUCAGAAAGCCACGGCUAACUACGUG